rnacentral:rRNA from 1 species
GAUAAACGCUGGCGGCGUGCAUAACACAUGCAAGUCGAACGAUGAAGAUUAAAAGAUUUCUUCGGAAUGAACUUAAUUGGAUUAGUGGCGGACGGGUGAGUAACGCGUGAGUAACCUGCCUUGUACAAGGGGAUAGCCGUUGGAAACGACGAAUAAUACCCUAUGACAUCAAAUAAUCGCAUGAUAAUUUGAUCAAAGAUUUAUCGGUAUAAGAUGGACUCGCGUCUGAUUAGCUAGUUGGUAGAGUAAAAGCCUACCAAGGCAACGAUCAGUAGCCGGCUUGAGAGAGUGUACGGCCACAUUGGGACUGAGACACGGCCCAGACUCCUACGGGAGGCAGCAGUGGGGAAUUUUGCACAAUGGGGGAAACCCUGAUGCAGCGACGCCGCGUGAUUUAGAGGGCCUUCGGGUUGUAAAAAUCUUUUGUAUGGGAAGAAAAUGACAGUACCAUACGAAUAAGGACCGGCUAAUUACGUG